rnacentral:rRNA from 1 species
GAUGAACGCUAGCGGCAGGCCUAAUACAUGCAAGUCGGACGGGAUUCAGGAGCUUGCUUCUGAUGAGAGUGGCGCACGGGUGCGUAACACGUAUGUAACCUACCUUUAUCAGGGGGAUAGCCUCUCGAAAGAGAGAUUAAGCCCGCAUAAAAUCACAGCACAGCAUUGUGUAAUGAUCAAAUAUUUAUAGGAUAAAGAUGGGCAUGCGGAACAUUAGCUAGAUGGCGGGGUAACGGCCCACCAUGGCGACGAUGUUUAGGGGAUCUGAGAGGAUGGCCCCCCACACUGGUACUGAGACACGGACCAGACUCCUACGGGAGGCAGCAGUAAGGAAUAUUGGUCAAUGGGCGGAAGCCUGAACCAGCCAUGCCGCGUGCAGGAAGACGGCCCUACGGGUUGUAAACUGCUUUUAUACGGGAAUAAACCCAGAUACGUGUAUCUGGCUGAAUGUACUGUAAGAAUAAGGAUCGGCUAACUCCAUG